CCGGCCUUUAAGUUCUCCAGAAUGACUGUUGGAUCAUCAAAGCAACGUUCUUGUGAAGGUGGAUUUGAAGAGGCAGGAGAAGGACAGAGCCACAUCAGGAAAAGGGUGUGGGAAUUCUGUGAGGAGGAGAAACUGAGACCCAGAGAAGGGAAUUGAUCCAGUGGCAAUGAGUAUUUCUCUUUAGGAGAUUUCAAAUGUAAUCUCCAACUGACAAUUCAUUGUCAAAUUUUGAGUCUUUGGAUGCUGGCUCCUGGAUGAAUCA
rnacentral:lncRNA from 1 species